rnacentral:rRNA from 1 species
GACGGAGGAUGCAAGCGUUAUCCGGAAUUAUUGGGCGUAAAGCGUCCGCAGGUGGCCUAUCAAGUCUGCUGUCAAAGACCGGGGCUUAACCCCAGAAAGGCAGUGGAAACUGAAAGGCUAGAGGAUGGUAGGGGCAGAGGGAAUUCCCAGUGUAGCGGUGAAAUGCGUAGAGAUUGGGAAGAACACCGGUGGCGAAAGCGCUCUGCUGGGCCAUAACUGACACUCAGGGACGAAAGCUAGGGGAGCGAACAGG